rnacentral:tRNA from 1 species
GUUUAAAUAGUUUAAAGUAAAAUGUUGGUUUGUGAUACCAAUGAUGUAGGUGACUACUUUAAACC